rnacentral:sRNA from 1 species
CGUCGACAACACGUCGAUAUCCGGUCUUCUGGCCCGUCCCCCGCUGGAUUCCGGAUCGGGCGGCAGCCUCACAUCCCCCCUCUCCGGGCUGCCGCUUCAUUAUAAUGAUCUGGCCGCUGCGGUACCCCCCUCACCGCAGCGGUCAAGUCUU